GACGAACCGUCCUAACGUUAUUCGGAAUCACUGGGCUUAAAGGGUGCGUAGGCGGCCUGACAAGUUGGGUGUGAAAUACCUCGGCCCAACCGAGGAAUGGCGCCCAAAACUGCCGGGCUCGAGGAAGAUAUAGGUGAGCGGAACUUAGGGUGGAGCGGUGAAAUGCGUUGAUAUCCUAAGGAACACCAGUAGCGAAAGCGGCUCACUGGGUCUUAUCUGACGCUGAGGCACGAAAGCCAGGGGAG
rnacentral:rRNA from 1 species